GAUGAAGAACGCAGCGAAAUGCGAUAAGUAGUGUGAAUUGCAGAAUUCAGUGAAUCAUCGAAUCUUUGAACGCACAUUGCGCCCCUUGGUAUCCCGAGGGGCAUGCCUGUUCGAGCGUCAUUUCACCACUCAAGCCUGGCUUGGUGUUGGGCGACGUCCUCUUUGGGGACGCGCCUCGAAACGCUCGGCGGCGUGGCACCGGCUUUAAGCGUAGCAGAAUCUUUCGCUUUGGAAGUCGGGGCCCCGUCUGCCGGAAGACGUGCUCGCAAGGUUGACCUCGGAUCAGGCAGGGAUACCCGCUGAACUUAAGCAUAUCAAUAAGCGGAGGA
rnacentral:misc_RNA from 1 species